UAUAGUGAUAUUAGUUCCACUCGAUGUGGAUCGCGCCCAUGCUUGCUCAGCUCCAGGAUCAGGCUCCUAAACCUAUUUUCAAUAAGUCAGCUGGUCUAUGUUGUUGGAGUUCCGCAUGACGCGUUAAUCCCACCUCUAUGUCUAAGGAAUAGCCUUUUCUUCUUUUCUUUAUUGUUCGUGGGAACAUGUAAGAUUAGCAAUGGAAAUUGA
rnacentral:rRNA from 1 species